GAUUACAUUGUGGAAUAUGCAUCCAUUAUUCAAAGAAAGGGCGUUAUUCCAAGCACUCACACUUUCUCUCCUUGCUAGCUAAAUUACUGACAAGCUAAAGAAGUCAGUGGAGGAUGAAAUUCAUUUUCUCAAGGGAAGGGUUUCAGAACUUGAAAGUGAUCUUGUGUUGAAGUCCACAGAAGUUACAUCUGCAGUUUCAAGGAAAGAAGAAGCUCUAUCUUCUACAUUUGCUGAAAUUGACCGUCUGAAGGAAGAAAAUUCUGUAAAAAUGUGAGCAUUAUUGAAUGCAUAUGGAGGGUGUUUACUAUGUUGGAGUGUAUUUGUUUCUUGUACAUGAGGGCACACCUUAGUUGUAAUUCUUAUGAUAGGUUGAGUAAAGUGAAGUAUUGUUUAUUUAGAAAUGUGAAUGUAGCAUGCAUUGUA